GGGGGAGUUGUUAAAUCGUAUUUAUUUUAAUGAAAAGCAUUUGGAGGAAAAAUAUAUGCAAAGAUACUUUUCUGUUUAAGAUGAAUUAUAGUUCAAUGGUUAAUCAGCUUGAAAUAGAGCUUACUUAUGUAGCAUGAGGCUGUGUAUAUACAUGCAAUAUUUACAUUUUUGGUAAUUCAAUACAAGUUAAUGCAUUGAAUGGUGAAAUGACAGGACCACUGCAGCCAGACGAUUUCAUUGUGAUGAAGAGUUCUGGGUGACUUUAGUGCUCCUUUAAACUUUGGUUAUCCCGUUGUAUAGAUCUACCUGUAAAUUGUUAUCCAUUAAAAAUAUUGUUUUAUCAAUUGUAGCCAUUAUGACACUUUGAAAAGAUAGUUCUCCAUUCCCUCCCCCCAGUAAAUACUAUGAGUGCAGCAGGGUAGCUAAAAAAACUUCUUGCCACUGCUGCAUGUCUGUGUGGGGCUAACGCCCUCCAUGUAUGCUCUGGGCAUCUGCUUGGAAAAUACUGUAAGAGCACAUGUGCCCUUGUGAAUUCCUUUCAUAGUACUGUGGGGGUUAAAUUAAUUUGCUUGGACAUCCUGGCAUAGAAUGUAAAUGAAAAAUUAAAAUGCGUUUGUUAGUUAGCAAUAUACAACAAAUCGAUAACCAUCAGUGAUUAUUGGCUUGUGUUCCACUUUAAAGUGACACUCCAGGUACCCGCAGUGCAAGAAUUCAUAAUGCUGGUUUUUGUUGCUUUAGCAAAAAGUACACUCUCAUGGUUUGUGUAUAUCCCGAAUGAAGCCAUUUGCAACUUAAUACAAGUGGUAGGAGGCUUCUAUUACCUUGUGCAUGUAGCUCCCUUCAUUCAUCUUAUUUAUGACCCAAGCUACAUUUGGCUGGGUCUGCUACAUGCUGUACAGCUUUUAAUAGAACACUAACAGUUGAACUAAAAGGGCCACUCUAAGCACCAUGAAUACAUACAUGGUUUUACAGGUUAUGGGUUAGAGUACCCUGCAUCCUGUCUUCGAAGGGCAAAAAUAUACAUCCUAGUACUGCACAAACUUCAUUAUAAUUCAGUUAUUAUGGUGCCUAGAGUUUGAUUUUAAAGGGACACUCCACUGUCCAAAUACAAAAUGAAUAAAACCCACCGUUUAGUAGAUAAGCUC